rnacentral:rRNA from 1 species
GUGGGGAAUCUUAGACAAUGGGCGCAAGCCUGAUCUAGCCAUGCCGCGUGAGCGAUGAAGGCCUUAGGGUUGUAAAGCUCUUUCGUGGGGGAAGAUAAUGACUGUACCCCAAGAAGAAGCCCCGGCUAACUCCGUGCCAGCAGCCGCGGUAAUACGGAGGGGGCUAGCGUUGUUCGGAAUUACUGGGCGUAAAGCGCACGUAGGCGGACUGGAAAGUCAGGGGUGAAAUCCCGGGGCUCAACCCCGGAACUGCCUUUGAAACUCCCAGUCUUGAGUUCGAGAGAGGUGAGUGGAAUUCCGAGUGUAGAGGUGAAAUUCGUAGAUAUUCGGAGGAACACCAGUGGCGAAGGCGACUCACUGGCCCAAUACUGACGCUGAGGCGCGAAAGCGUGGGGAGCAAACAGGAUUAGAUACCCCAGUAGUCC